rnacentral:misc_RNA from 1 species
GAAACAUAUGCUUCUGGGGAGUAGAUUUUGAAAUUUCAUUGGCUAGACUGCCCACUUCAAACCAAAUAAUACUAGUUUGUACAAAAUGUGGCCAUCAUAUUCUAUUAGGCUCAUUAACUUUCAAUGUCAAGCUCAUUCUUUUCUCUAAUUUGAAACAAAUGUAGUCGCAUCUUUAAAGAUUGAUGUAUGUAAUGAGCUCAUCAAAAUGUUGCUAUAUGCUAAUGAUAUGUUAGUGUAAAAAGUUGUC